CCUACGGGAGGCUGCAGUGGGGAAUAUUGGGCAAUGGAGGAAACUCUGACCCAGCAACGCCGCGUGAAUGAUGAAGGUCUUCGGAUUGUAAAGUUCUUUUCUAAGGGAAGAAGAAAGUGACGGUACCUUAGGAAUAAGCCUCGGCUAACUACGUGCCAGCAGCCGCGGUAAUACGUAGGAGGCGAGCGUUAUCCGGAAUGACUGGGCGUAAAGGGUGCGUAGGUGGUUUGGCAAGUUAGUAGCGUAACUCCAAGGCUCAACCUUGGAACUACUACUAAAACUGUUGGACUUGAGUGCAGGAGGGGCAACCGGAAUUCCUAGUGUAGCGGUGGAAUGCGUAGAUAUCACGCAGAACUCCGAUUGCGAAGGCAGCAUACCGGCGCCCAACUGACGCUGAAGCACGAAAGCGUGGGUAUCGAACAGGAUUAGAUACCCCAGUAGUC
rnacentral:rRNA from 1 species